UUUGUGGUCAGAUGUGUUCAUACUAAAAUGAGGGAUUAAAGAUGAGAAUGGAUUGAAAAUGGAGCUGCUCUUGUCCCCCCAGUCAGGAUGAGAGGAAGAAACGAACCUUCAGGGACUACACGAGCCAGAAGAUCACCCUGGAGGCCGUCCUGAACACAGUGUGCAAGAAAUGUGGCUGCAAAGGUCACUUUGCCAAGGAGUGCUUCAUGCAGCCUGGAGGAACCAAAUACAGCCUCAUUCCAGAGGAGGAGGAAGAGGAGGGAGCAGCAGCAGGACCUGAAGGGGAUAAAAAGAUCAGCCAGGCUGAGGAGUCUUCAAAAAAAAGGAAAAAGGAGAAGAAGAAGAAGAAGAAGCACAAGGCCAAGCAGUCCUCAGAGUCAGACUCGGACAGCUCGGCCUCGGACAGCGAUGGAGCUCAGCCCUCCAGCAAGAGGCCCAAGCACUCAGGGAAACCCAGCAGGGCUCCCAAGAAGAAGAAGAAGAAGAAGCACAAGAAGUAGCCCUGGGAUGAGCAGGGCAGGCUGAGCUGCUGCCAUGGCCAUUCCCUGGUGCAGCCAGCAGGGAUCAGCACCUCUCCUGCUCCAGGGACAAGGAGUUUCCUUCUGCAAGUGCCACGGGGUGUGGUGUUACAGGUGUUGACCUUGCUACGAGCUGUCCUUGUCACCCUGGGCACAGGCUGCCCCUUUGUCCCACAGCUGCUGCCAGCACAGGCUCAUGACACCCUGCAGGGCACCCCUGCUGUCCCACACCUCGUGUCCUGCUGGAGCUGCUGCCAGCUCUUGUGACAGCUUGGGGACAGCAGCCCUGUGCAGGGGUUGGGGUGGCACAGGCAGGCCCACACCGUGCUGGGGACAGGGUUUGGUGUUGCUGGUGGGACCACAACCCCCUGGCACAGCUCUGGCUGCAAACCUGCCCUGGCUCCCUUGAUCUCUGUAAACACUGGGAGUGGAGGAGCAAGGAGCAAAUGGGGGAGUGGAGAUACUGGGAGUAAACACGAACCAUGGAGUGUUUGCUGCCUUGGAAAGGGAUAGAAAAUAAAUCUGCCCUCUCCAGCUGUACUUUGUACUGGCUCCUUCCUUCUGUACCCCCACACUUCAGCUUGGGCAGGGGAAGAGCAGCACUGGCUGUGUGGGAGAGAUGGGAAAAGGCUUUUUUGGGAAGUUCUGGCUGCUUCCCGAGGAUCCCUGGGGUGGGAAGGGGGUGUGUGGUGAGGUAAGGCAUAGGAGAAGCUGGAAGAAGCAUAAAUCUUGUAACUGGAGCUGAAGGUCAGGGGAAGGGAUGGCAGGGGGAGUGUGCCAGGAGCAACUCAGCCCUGCUGGGGCGGAUGUGAAUGGGGGAAGGUGCUGUGGGCUCGGGGUGUUCAUGGUGCCACAACACAGGCACAGCCCUUAGUGGUGAGUGACUGCAGCUCUGGUGAUUUCAGCUCUGGUGACUGCAGCUCCAGUGAUUUCAGCUCUGAUGACUUCAGUUCUAGUGAUUUCCAGCUCUCCUGUGAAGUCACUCUCGGGUGACAUGGAGAUAAAGACCAGGAGCCUCACACAGCGUUCCACAGAGAGCAGAGCCUUUAUUACAGGAGGCCACUCUGUGAAGGGUGCCAGGGACAACACCUCCCCCGAACUGGGGCCAAACAGGGAUUUAUAUGGGGAAGGCAGGGGGUGGGGAAGAGCAACAGGGCAAAUAGUCUGAGGGCCCAGAACCCAAACAAGAGACCAGCAGGGUACAGGCUGUUAACACAAAGCAACAGAGCACACUGGGGGCAGCUCUCUCCUGCCACCAGCUGUGAGGGGACUCCGUGGCAGCUCUGUCUCUGGGGAGGGUUUUAGAUCUCCCCCCGAGUGCAGGGGGUUCCUGUGCCCAGGGCUUCUUGCCCUCCACACGAAGGAGUCGCUCCUGUGGCCUCUGGCUCUGCAGGGAGCUGGGGUGGUUGGCAAGCUGUUGGCAUUGCUGAUGCAGCCUCUCCUUGUCCCUUUUCCUUCCCUGAGCUUCCCAGCCCAGCUCCCCAUCGCCCUUUGGGGCCGUUUCCCUUCCCAAAUCCCGACACCAAGAGCUCAGGACCUUUAUUGCAGGUGAGCCUGUGCCUCAGGGCUGUGGGCCCCUCCUGCCCUGGUGGCUGUGCCUCGCUGGGAGGGGCACUCCCGGACACUGAGCUGCUGCAGGACUGAACGUUCCCGCCCCCAGAGCACAUUUCUAACCACAACUGAUCCCCAUAGCUUGGAGAGGACGCUGAGAUGGGCUAUUGGGAUCACCGGCCAUUAACCCCAUCCCUGCCAUCCCUGUGGGUGGCCACGUGCCCAAAACGUUUUUUCCCCAGUAAACCAAGCACAGAGCUGUAACAACACCUUUUUUAUUUGUCCAU
ensembl:lncRNA